CUGGUUAGCUCAGUUGGUAGGGCGCUCCGCUGGAAAUGAACAAGUCCCUGGUUCGACACCAGGACCAG
rnacentral:tRNA from 1 species